GACGAACGCUGGCGGCGUGCUUAACACAUGCAAGUCGAACGGAAAGGCCCUGCUUUUGUUGGGUGCUCGAGUGGCGAACGGGUGAGUAACACGUGAGUAACCUGCCCUUGUCUUUCGGAUAACUUCAGGGAACUGGGGCUAUUACCCGAUAUGAUCUCCUGCUGCAUGGUGGGGGUUGGAGAGUUUCGGCGGUUGGGGAUGGUCUCGCGGCUUAUCAGCUUGUUUGUGGGGUAGUUGCUUACCAAGGGUUUGACGGGUAGCCGGCCUGAGAGGGUGACCGGCCACAAUGGUACUGAGAUACGGCGCAGACGCCUACCGUAGGCAACGGGGGGGAAUAUUGCACAAUGGGCGGAAGCGUGAUGCAGCAGCGCCGCGUGCGGGAUGACGGCCUUCGGGGUGUAAACCGCUGUCGCCUGUGACGAGGCGUGAGUGACGGUAAUGGGUAAAGAAGCACCGGCUAACUACGUG
rnacentral:rRNA from 1 species